rnacentral:rRNA from 1 species
CCUACGGGUGGCUGCAGUGGGGAAUAUUGGACAAUGGGCGAAAGCCUGAUCCAGCCAUGCCGCGUGUGUGAAGAAGGCCUUCGGGUUGUAAAGCACUUUCAGUGGGGAAGAAAGCCUUGGGGCUAAUACCCUCGAGGAAGGACAUCACCCACAGAAGAAGCACCGGCUAACUCCGUGCCAGCAGCCGCGGUAAUACGGAGGGUGCGAGCGUUAAUCGGAAUUACUGGGCGUAAAGCGCGCGUAGGCGGUCUGAUAAGCCGGUUGUGAAAGCCCCGGGCUCAACCUGGGAACGGCAUCCGGAACUGUCAGGCUAGAGUGCAGGCGAGGAAGGUAGAAUUCCCGGUGUAGCGGUGAAAUGCGUAGAGAUCGGGAGGAAUACCAGUGGCGAAGGCGGCCUGCUGGACUGACACUGACGCUGAGGUGCGAAAGCGUGGGUAGCAAACAGGAUUAGAUACCCGAGUAGUC